UUUUGGAAUAUUUUAUGACUUCAUUGACAAUGAAGCCUGUCAGGUGGUAGAGAGCACUGGUCUCAGUUUUUGUGAGAUCAGGAGCAGCUCUGCGCUCCAUCGGCUCCUCCACUCUGAGGCCAGGACUGGGAAAUACCUGCUUGGUGUCCAGGAAGUCUGCCAAAAGGCUGUUGUCAUCCUCCUGGUAGUUUCCUGAUUUUAAGGUCGCAAGAAACUGCCCAACAGAUAUUGAUCUAAGUGCCUGGUGAAACUCUACUGGAGUCGGAACUGGAUUUCUCUGUGUUAUGCAGCUGAAAAGAAUUUCAAGACAAUCUUGGGUAAACCUGCUGGUCAACACAAACAUGUGUCCCUGGGCAAGCAUGUCUUUUUGGAUUAGCAGAAUUGUAGAUGUUGCCAUUACAAUUCCUGAUUGUACAGGUUUCCAGCUACCAGCUUGUUUAAUCUUCAGCCCACGAAAGAGUUGAAUGGUAUCCUGUAGAAAUUUGAUGGCCUUCUGGUACUCCUCAAUUUUGCGUGUGCUCAGUGCCAUUACUGGGUGGCGGGAGGACAUGAUAUCAAACCAGUGGUCCACCUGCUCCAGAAACCAUGCUGUUGUCAGGUCUUGUACACUGGCUCCUGGCUCACUUGACACCUGCAUACUGGCUCCUGGCUCACUUGACACCUGCAUACUGGCUCCUGGCUCACUUGGCACCUGCAGACUGGCUCCUGGCUCACUUGGCACCUGCAUACUGGCUCCUGGCUCACUUGGCACCUGCAUACUGGCUCCUGGCUCACUUGGCACCUGCACACUGGCUCCUGGCUCCCUUGCCUGCAUACUGGCUGCCAUUUCUCCCUCGAUUUCCUCACAGUCUUCACCUUUCUUGUCCUCUCUUCCCUCAUUUGUCCUUCUCUCACUUUCCUUCCUUCCUCCCUCAAUAUCUGAAAUAAUGUUGUCUUGUUAGUUCUACAUGUAGAGUGUAUAAGCUAGUCAUUGAAAUAAGAAAUAUUAUUUACAUUUAGACUUUACAUAAGUUAAUUAUAGGACAAUACGUGUGGUCACUGGCCACUGCAUGAACAUGUACUGGAGGUUCUGUGGUACUUCUCACGGCAGGACCAUUCCUCCUCUUGGGCUCAGGGCGAUGCACAAAUAUGGUUGGAACAGCAUCAGUUCUCAAUCUCAGGUGGCCUUUUUUUGUUUUUGAGAAUUGCUCUCCCUCAAAAUGUGCCUGCAGAGUUGCUUAUGAGGUUAUUUUCCACACACUUUCCAAAUGAUUACCCCAUAAAUGUCUAUCACAAUUUCAUUGCUGUAUUGUACAUAUUACAUAUAGUAAAACAUGCUGAACCUUGAUCCACAAGUGAACAUAACUUACUGCACAUAGUUUUCUAUUGUUGUAAUCUUUUGUGAUGGCUAUGUUGCUUCUGCUGACUUGGGCUAACCAUUUCUUUCUCCUGCCGGUUUCUUUUGGGAAGCCAUACAUCCCGGAUCCCUUUCUCUGACCGAUUGGUGCAUCCAAAUGCCGCAUAGCCAACCAUGUUCUAUCCAGCAGCAACAAGACCCGGUCUCCUCUUGGGGCCUAUGACAUGCUCUGCUUCUGGCAGGGGAACGCUCUCACCCAAAU